AUCGCUUCUCGGCCUUUUGGCUAAGAUCAAGUGUAAUCACAGAUUAUUGGUUAAAUAACAUGGUCAUAAAGUGAAUAUUAUACAUUUGUUAAAAGUAAGUAGACAGAUUUAUCUAUCUAGUUAUCCAUAUCCUUCUCUAGUUUUCCCAUUUUUGUUAUAGAAUGAGCUCAU
ensembl:snRNA U2 U2 spliceosomal RNA